rnacentral:rRNA from 1 species
CUUGGUCAUUUAGAGGAAGUAAAAGUCGUAACAAGGUCUCCGUAGGUGAACCUGCGGAGGGAUCAUUACUGAGUUUUUAACUCUCCAAACCAGUGUGAACUUACCACUGUUGCCUCGGUGGAUGGUGCUGUACUCUCGGGACGGUACCACCGCCGGUGGACUACCUAAACUCUGUUAAUUUUUGUCAAUCUGAAUCAAACUAAGAAAUAAGUUAAAACUUUCAACAACGGAUCUCUUGGUUCUGGCAUCGAUGAAGAACGCAGCGAAAUGCGAUAAGUAAUGUGAAUUGCAGAAUUCAGUGAAUCAUCGAAUCUUUGAACGCACAUUGCGCCCAUUAGUAUUCUAGUGGGCAUGCCUGUUCGAGCGUCAUUUCAACCCUUAAGCCUAGCUUAGUGUUGGGAGACUGCCUAAUACGCAGCUCCUCAAAACCAGUGGCGGAGUCGGUUCGUGCUCUGAGCGUAGUAAUUUUUUAUCUCGCUUCUGCAAGCCGGACUGGCAACAGCCAUAAACCGCACCCUUCGGGGGCACUUUUUAAUGGUUGACCUCGGAUCAGGUAGGAAUACCCGCUGAACUUAAGCAUAUCAAUAAGGCGGAG